rnacentral:rRNA from 1 species
AGUGAACGCUGGCGGUAGGCCUAACACAUGCAAGUCGAACGGCAGCACAGUAAGAGCUUGCUCUUACGGGUGGCGAGUGGCGGACGGGUGAGGAAUACAUCGGAAUCUACUUUUUCGUGGGGGAUAAUGUAGGGAAACUUACGCUAAUACCGCAUACGACCUACGGGUGAAAGCAGGGGAUCUUCGGACCUUGCGCGAUUGAAUGAGCCGAUGUCGGAUUAGCUAGUUGGCGGGGUAAAGGCCCACCAAGGCGGCGAUCCGUAGCUGGUCUGAGAGGAUGAUCAGCCACACUGGAACUGAGACACGGUCCAGACUCCUACGGGAGGCGGCAGUGGGGAAUAUUGGACAAUGGGCGCAAGCCUGAUCCAGCCAUACCGCGUGGGUGAAGAAGGCCUUCGGGUUGUAAAGCCCUUUUGUUGGGAAAGAAAAGCAGCAGGUUAAUACCCCGCUGUUCUGACGGUACCCAAAGAAUAAGCACCGGCUAACUUCGUG